rnacentral:rRNA from 2 species
UAAAUGACGGUACCUGACUAAGAAGCCCCGGCUAACUACGUGCCAGCAGCCGCGGUAAUACGUAGGGGGCAAGCGUUAUCCGGAUUUACUGGGUGUAAGGGGAGCGUAGACGGCAGUGCAAGUCUGGAGUGAAAGGCGGGGGCUCAACCCCCGGACUGCUCUGGAAACUGUACAGCUGGAGUGCAGGAGAGGUAAGUGGAAUUCCUAGUGUAGCGGUGAAAUGCGUAGAUAUUAGGAGGAACACCAGUGGCGAAGGCGGCUUACUGGACUGUAACUGACGUUGAGGCUCGAAAGCGUGGGGAGCAAACAGGAUUAGAUACCCUGGUAGUCCACGCCGUAAACGAUGAUCACUAGGUGUCGGGGGUUAAAGAACCUUCGGUGCCGCAGCCAACGCAGUAAGUGAUCCACCUGGGGAGUA